rnacentral:tRNA from 1 species
AUGUAGCUCACUUGGUACAGUGCUUGGCUAACACCCAUGAGGCUCUGGGUUUGAUCCCAGCAU